rnacentral:sRNA from 1 species
CCUAGGGUUGCAACCCUAGGCUAUCACAGAACGGCCCUUCAGGCCU